UGGAAGCUGUGCUUCCGUGGGCAGAACACUCAGUGGAAAGAAGUAAGGGAAACAAACGCUGGGUAGGAGCACCAUCAGCCCCUGUGUCUGGAUGAGACGGUCAGUUAGUGUCUGCUAAAGACAUAAAUAACGAGCCUCCCUCUGGAAGGUACAGUCCAGAAGGCAGGCAGGAAUGAUUUAAAGAGGAUUGCUAUAGUCCCACUUUGGGAAAGCAGAGGUUAAGACCAGGCUAGACUACAUAGAUCCCUUCUCAAAAACCUGAAAGAGGGCCUGGUAUGCAACUCAGUCUGGAAUGACCAGCAUGGGUAAAUCCCUGGGGAACAGUACCUAGCAACAUACAUACAAAAAAAAAAAAAAAAAAAAAAAAGAAGAAGAAGAAGAAAGAAAGGAAGAAAGAAAUACACUUUAGAUCCCACACAAGUAAAUUAAUACCUUUAAUCUCAGCAAGUGGGAACUGGAGACAGAAGUAGGCAGAUCUCUGUGUUAGAAUCCAGCCUGGUCUGCAGAGCAAGAUCUAAGCCCUGCCAGACAGCAUAGUAAAACCCUUCCCCUUACAUAGGGAAAUGCAUAGAAAUAAAAGAAUGGAAAAUACUGUCUAUGCAGAACAUUCUACCCAGUGAUUGCAGAGAGCACACUGUGUUCUGGACACUUAGAAUAGACCAUAGGCUGGGUACUAGACAAGCUUAAUAAGAUUAAAAUAAUUAACUGGGUGUUCUCUUUUUAUAACUAGAGAGGUCUUUGACAGAAGAAAAUAUGAGGGAAUACCAAGAAUUUAAAAAUUCAAGCAAUAAGCAAUAUACAUUUAACCCAUAAGUUAAAGACAGAAAUUCUCUAAAUCCUUUGAGGUGAAUGGGAAUAAGCGAACCAGUUCCUGCCUGCGGUCUCUGCACUUGGGACCCUGAGGCAGAGGUAUUACCUAAGGUUUCAGACCAGCCUGAGCUACGGUGAUUAUCCAGGUUCUCCAGGAGACGCACAUAUUCUCAUAUAACAGAAGAGACCCUUCAUUUUCUUUUAAUGGAAUAAACAUGAAAUCAUAAGACCAAGCCAGGCAUGGUGGUACACACCUUUAAUCCCAGCAUUUAAGAAGAGAUAGGAAGAGUUCAAGGCUCUUUUAAGUUGAGUGAUUUUUAGGAAAAUUUCCCAGGUUAAUGCAUCAUAAAAGUCCCGCCUGACAAGAGUCCACACCUUAAUCUCAGCACUCAGGGUUGAGGUCAGAGAAUUAAGGCACAGUGGGCUCCAAAGCGAGUGCCAGGCUUGCUACAUAGCUCUAGACCUACAGGAGGCUGUGACCUGAGGAACUCUAGCAGACCUACCCGGAGGCUGUGACCUGAGGAACUCUAGCAGACCUACCCGGAGGCUGCGACCUGAGGAAGUCCGGGUUUUGCUUAGGGCUACAGAGUGAGCUCAAGGUCAGCUUGGGUGACUCAGUGAUACCCUGUCACC
rnacentral:lncRNA from 1 species